UACGUAGGGUGCAAGCGUUGUCCGGAAUUAUUGGGCGUAAAGAGCUCGUAGGCGGCUUGUCGCGUCGGCUGUGAAAACCUGGGGCUCAACCCCGGGCCUGCAGCCGAUACGGGCAAGCUAGAAUUCGGUAGGGGAGACUGGAAUUCCUGGUGUAGCGGUGAAAUGCGCAGAUAUCAGGAGGAACACCGGUGGCGAAGGCGAGUCUCUGGGCCGAUACUGACACUGAGAAGCGAAAGCGUGGGGAGCGAACAGG
rnacentral:rRNA from 1 species